AACGAACGCUGGCGGCAUGCCUAACACAUGCAAGUCGAACGAGACCUUCGGGUCUAGUGGCGCACGGGUGCGUAACGCGUGGGAAUAUGCCCUUAGGUACGGAAUAACACAGAGAAAUUUGUGCUAAUACCGUAUGAUGUCUUCGGACCAAAGAUUUAUCGCCUAGGGAUUAGCCCGCGUAGGAUUAGCUUGUUGGUGAGGUAAAGGCUCACCAAGGCGACGAUCCUUAGCUGGUCUGAGAGGAUGAUCAGCCACAUUGGGACUGAGACACGGCCCAAACUCCUACGGGAGGCAGCAGUGGGGAAUAUUGGACAAUGGGCGCAAGCCUGAUCCAGCCAUGCCGCGUGUGUGAUGAAGGCCUUAGGGUUGUAAAGCACUUUCACCGGAGAAGAUAAUGACGGUAUCCGGAGAAGAAGCCCCGGCUAACUUCGUGCCAGCAGCCGCGGUAAU
rnacentral:rRNA from 1 species